rnacentral:rRNA from 1 species
GUUGACCUCGGAUCAGGUAGGGAUACGCGCUGAACUUAAGCAUAUCAAUAAGCGCAGGAGCAUAUCAAUAAGCGCAGGA